rnacentral:rRNA from 1 species
AACGAACGCUGGCGGCAGGCUUAACACAUGCAAGUCGAACGCAUCCUUCGGGGUGAGUGGCAGACGGGUGAGUAACGCGUGGGAACGUGCCCUUCAGUUCGGGAUAACCCAGGGAAACUUGGGCUAAUACCGGAUACGUGCGAGAGCAGAAAGAUUUAUCGCAUGAAGGAUCGGCCCGCGUCUGAUUAGCUAGUUGGUGGGGUAAUGGCCCACCAAGGCGACGAUCAGUAGCUGGUCUGAGAGGAUGAUCAGCCACAUUGGGACUGAGACACGGCCCAAACUCCUACGGGAGGCAGCAGUGGGGAAUAUUGGACGAUGGGCGCAAGCCUGAUCCAGCCAGGCCGCGUGAGUGAUGAAGGCCUUAGGGUUGUAAAGCUCUUUCGUCCGGGACGAUAAUGACGGUACCGGAAGAAGAAGCCCCGGCUAACUUCGUGCCAGCCGCCGCCGCGG